rnacentral:tRNA from 1 species
AGUUAAAUAACCUUUGAAGGUAUUAUAUCUUGAAAAUAUAUUAAAGAGGUUAAAACCCUCUAUUGACUU